rnacentral:rRNA from 1 species
AUUGAACGCUAGCGGGAUGCUUUACACAUGCAAGUCGAACGGCAGCGCGGACUUCGGUCUGGCGGCGAGUGGCGAACGGGUGAGUAAUGUAUCGGAACGUGCCCAGUAGCGGGGGAUAACUACGCGAAAGCGUAGCUAAUACCGCAUACGCCCUACGGGGGAAAGCAGGGGAUCGUAAGACCUUGCACUCUUGGAGCGUCCGAUAUCGGAUUAGCUAGUUGGUGAGGUAACGGCUCACCAAGGCGACGAUCCGUAGCUGGUUUGAGAGGACGACCAGCCACACUGGGACUGAGACACGGCCCAGACUCCUACGGGAGGCAGCAGUGGGGAAUUUUGGACAAUGGGGGCAACCCUGAUCCAGCCAUCCCGCGUGUGCGAUGAAGGCCUUCGGGUUGUAAAGCACUUUUGGCAGGAAAGAAACGUCGCGGGCUAAUACCCCGUGGAACUGACGGUACCUGCAGAAUAAGCACCGGCUAACUACGUG